GGAGGCUCUUAUUGGGGCUCUUAUAGGGUUGGUUCGUGUGAGAGUGGAUAUGAGGGAAGAAAAGGAAACUGUUAUUGAAGAAGGCAAAGUUGAAACUGUUGAAGGAUCCCCCAAAGUAACGAAACUAUUAAGGAAAAACUAGGUGUUGCUGCUGAACCCAUGAUAAAUGAUGACAUGGCUGAGGCUAAUGUUGUUCCUUGUUCAGAGAUGUUGGAUUCUGGAAUUAGUGCUCAUGAUAUCGUCUGUCAUGAUCACAAGAUUUUUCAAUUUAGGUUUUGAAAGAGACAAAAUAAACACCAUUUUGAUGAUGAAUAUCUAACAAAUCUGUCUCGAGGGAUAGUCUCACCCACUGAUUCUAUCACAUACAGUUCUAAGAAAGAGAGAGUUUCCUGAGAGUGAUAGUUGUGGCAGAUUCUGAGGCUACAACAUUGUUGGUAUCGGAGAACUCUAUUUUGAACAUGCAACAUAGCUAAUUGGGGGUCACUUGAUUUAUGAUAAGAAAGUUAGUAAUGAGAAUCGAGAAAGAGCGUUAAAUCCUCAACAUCCCUAUAGAAAGUCAUGUUUAGGGUGUGCUCGUCUGGAAGCUGAUAUGUUAGAGUUUUAUACGCAAGAUUGAAAAGCUUUGCAAUGACAUGGAUAAGAUGAGAAGUGAAUUGAGGUAUGCACCUUAGAGUUUUAUACAUAAAUAUUUUUCUACAUCGAAAACGAAACCUUCGAGUUCUUAAGUUGAAUUAUGUAAUCAUGACAGAUAUCUCUAUUUCUAGUGGAUUGGAUUUUGAAU